GACGAACGCUGGCGGCGUGCUUAACACAUGCAAGUCGAACGGAAAGGCCUGCUUUCCCUUGUGGAUUGCGGGUACUCGAGUGGCGAACGGGUGAGUAACACGUGAGUGAUCUGCCCCCAACUUGGGUAUAAGCCUGGGAAACUGGGUCUAAUUCCCGAUAGGACUGCAGGGUGGUGCCUGUGGUGGAAAACGAUUUUCUAGUGGUUGGGGAUGAGCUCGCGGCCUAUCAGCUUGUUGGUGGGGUAAUGGCCUACCAAGGCGGCGACGGGUAGCCGGCCUGAGAGGGUGGACGGACACAUUGGGACUGAGAUACGGCCCAGACUCCUACGGGAGGCAGCAGUGGGGAAUAUUGCACAAUGGGCGGAAGCCUGAUGCAGCGACGCCGCGUGGGAGAUGACGGCCUUCGGGUUGUAAACUCCUUUCGACCGCGAGGAAGCCACCUGGUUGGAAGGGUGGUGACGGUAGUGGUAGAAGAAGCACCGGCUAACUACGUG
rnacentral:rRNA from 1 species